UAUAUACACUCUGCAUUAUAUACACAGAGUGUGUGUAUAUAAUGCAGAGUGUGUGUUUGUAUGAGUGUGUGUGUGUAUAUAAUGCAGAGUGUGUGUUUGUAUGAGUGUGUGUGUAUAAUGCAGAGUGUGUGUUUGUAUGAGUGUGUGUGUGUAUAUAUAAUGCAGAGUGUGUGUGUUUGUAUAAGUGUGUGUGCUUAAUGCAGAGUGUGUGUUUGUAUGAGUGUGUGUGUAUAUAAUUAUAAAAAUCACAGAAU